AAAACCUGAAGACGUUGGCUAGGAUCUGCUGCCCAAACUUCCCUCCCCUCUCCUUCCCCUUUUCCUUUCCCUCAUCUCCCCCUCGCGCCAUCUCCUGAUUUCUCUCUCGCCUCUUUGCCUAGCCGCCGGCCACCGUGAAGGGCAGCAACAAAGCUGCACCACGAGCACGCCAGCGGUUCCACCACGAAGACCACCCCACGCACGGUAGCAGACUCUCUCUCUCUCUCUCUCUCUCUCGAUUUCUCCCUCCGUUUCUCCCAUCUCUCAGCCGCCACCCACGCCAUCAGCCUCCACGAGCACGCCAGCUACGGCCAACCACCAUCACACGACGCCGCAACCAAGCCCCUUUCCGUCGAGCACCACCCCUCGUCGUCCAGGAAAAACAAGCCCCACACCGUUUUUCUCGGCCUCUACUCUGCACUGUCUCUGGCCCCGUGCCACCGUGCGCUACCAGGCCGUCUUCGAGCUCCUUUGCCGUCGCACCACCACAGGUUCCUCCACGCAAGGUCCACUGCCCACCUCAGACCACUGAAGUCGUAAACCAACCCACUUCAGCCGCACGCUUCCCUCGCUGCUCAGCUCCUUAAGUUGUGAAAAUCCAUUUGGUGAAACUCAUCGAGAAGCUUGGGCUUGUGAGGUUUUCAAUGAAUGUCGAUUAUAUGCUGAUGUUGUAUUGUAUUCUAAUAGCCGUCUGAAUCAAUUAAUGCCCACACGUAUCCCAUUUUGAGCAUUCCAUACUGAUUCUUGAGUGUAGCCCUAUCCAUAAAGCCCUUUUCACUGAUUCUUCAAUUGCAGGAUUGAUAUGUUACCGAAAGCCUUCGCUUUGGUUAAAUUAUUAUUUUCAUCGCACCAUUUGCUCACAUUUCCCAGGGAAUCAGUUUCAAAACCUUUGCUGGUCUUCACGACUGCCACGUAUUCAACGAAAAGUCCAACCCAAUUUGAAAGGGUAGAAGUUGUAGACCUCCCAAAAAACUCCAUUGAUGUUCUGAGGAAAUGGGGUUGUAGUGAUCAUGAUAUAUCGAAGAUAAUUGUCCGCCGCCCUUCUUUACGUCUGGCCGACAUUGCCCACCUUCAAUCCAAACUUAACAUGCUCAGUAGCUUGGGUAUUGGAGCUCAUGAUCUUGUGAAGAUUAUCAAUUGUCGCCCCAGGUUUCUAAGCUGUCAAAUAAAUCAUUGCUUUCAUGAGCGGCUUGAAUUUUUUAUGACAUUGUUUGAGUCAAGGGAAGUGCUUGCUAAAGCUAUUGUUAGGAACCCUUCAUUCUUAACAUAUGACUUCAAUAACAGCAUCAUGCCUGCUAUUGCAAUGUAUGAAGAGGUGGGUGUUAGUAGAAAGGACUUGAUUCCUAUGCUCCUUUCUCGGCCCACUAUGAUACCUCGAACUUCAUUUGAUGAAGAGAAAAUGGAAUAUAUUCGCAAAACUGGGAUUUCCAAGGAUUCCAAGAUGUAUAAAUAUGUUGUUACGAUCAUCGGCAUCUCACGCCAUGAAACAAUCCUUCAAAAGGUGGGAAAUUUUGAAAAGUUCGGGUUUUCAGAUGAUGAAAUCUUCAAUCUGUUUGGGAGAUCUCCCCUUAUGUUGACACUAUCAGUUGAUAAGGUACAGAGGAACAUGACUUUUGUUUUGGGCAUGAUGAAGUUUCCUGCAAGUGUGGUCCUUAAGUGUCCAUUUCUAUUGUACUCUAGCUUGGAGACUGUGUUAAAGCCGCGAGUCCUUCUUGCGGGGAAGAUAGAUGACAUGGGUCUUGAUUCGCAGAUUAAGGGACCCACAAUGCUUAGGGCACUGAAGAUGACUGAGAAGAGGUUUUUAAAGGCGUUUGUCAAGUGUCACCCGAAAGAUGUUGCUGAUGAAUUGUUAGAGUUCUACAAAUGCGCCAAAGGGAUCAAGCGAUUGGCAGAAGCGUCAAAGAAAAACAUUUGCGUGGGAUUCCCUUUUUGAAGUUUUGUUCACCGGCUGCACUGUUUUUAGCCACUGGAAUCCAUGAAAUGUACAAUUGGUCAAGUACAAUGGAUUGAACACAUAAUGGAGCAUCCUCCAUGUGUACACGAAAAGAAGAUAAAGACGAUGCUGAGUUGGCUAGACUGAGCUGCAAGAUUAGCAUCAUCCCUUUUGGCAUGAAUAACAUGAGCUGAACGAAAUUGUUUCAGAGUACUCUUAGCAUCGUCAAUUAAUUGUCCAUAACUUCAUUGCUUCCAACACCAAAAGUUUCUGCAGCAACUGGUUCCAAUUAGAUAUCCAGAGGUUUUUCUAAAUGAGCAAUAUCAGGUGGUAACCAUCUGGUCACAGUUCUGGACAUUGAUCGGGACGACAUUCUCAUAUGCUGGACCUCUUUAUACAGAUCAUAAGAUUGUUGAGAGGAAUUAACUACUUCGUUUGGAUGUGAAAUAUUGAUAAGUGAUGGUUGGUACGAUAAUAAUAAUGCCUGAUCUACACACCAUGGCCCAGCUUUGGGGACUUGUUCUCUCUUACCGUGUACAUCAUGUUAUCCCAUUCAGUUAUUAUUUUCUAGUGGUCUCAUGGCCUGUCUGGCAGGUUAGUAACCUCAAAGGAGAUUGUUGAAUAUCAUAUUUUUAAUCCUUGUCAAAUCUGAUGAAACAACAGAUCUUAUGGCAUCAUAUUGGUAGGCACUCUUGGUCAAUAAAUAUAAGUAGUACUUGAUAUUAAAAAGUAUGUCUUUCUCCAGUU